rnacentral:rRNA from 1 species
UACGUAGGGUGCAAGCGUUAAUCGGAAUUACUGGGCGUAAAGCGCGCGUAGGCGGCUUGAUAAGUCGGAUGUGAAAGCCCUGGGCUCAACCUGGGAACUGCAUUCGAUACUGUCGAGCUAGAGUGUGGGAGAGGGUGGUGGAAUUCCCGGUGUAGCGGUGAAAUGCGUAGAGAUCUGGAGGAAUACCGAUGGCGAAGGCAGCCCCUC